rnacentral:sRNA from 1 species
UGACCGCUUCACAUCUGAAGCUAAAGCCAUACGGACAGCUGGGUCAAGAGCCGA